AGACAAAACCUACUUCUAUUCACUUUGCUUAAAGAAUUUAAUCUAUGAUUUGGUAUAUAAAAACAACAUUAAAAAAUCAAUUUUCUUUGUUGCAUGUAAUUUGCUUGCUACACGUGAAAAUCGAAUUUUACCAGGAGCAAAGCAAAUUUAUUUACAAUACUAGCUCAUUUUAUAUAGAACAUAUGGGCCGGAUAAACAUCGCUGUGACCGCAACCCAUCGUCACAAUUUCAACAAAAGUAACCACACAAACUUAAUCGUCAUUAGUUUAGAUAAGUUAUGAAUGGUUUCAUUAGAGACAAACAGAGAUCCGACAUCAGCUCUUGUAUAUGUAUAAACUAUUUAUUUUCAUUGUUAGAAUAUGUUUGUACCUGUGAUUGUAAAGAUACGUCAGCAACUGUGAACAAAAGCAUCAAUGAAUCUCAGUUAAGGUUACCCUGUGACUGUAUGUGCGACGUAUAUUCCGUUGUAUUCCCAGCCAUUGGUUCGUCAGACCUGAAUAAGAUUAUUUUUGAUUUAAAAAAAUCAUUAUCUAUUCCAAAACCUUCUUUAACAGCUUACCGUCGAAGUAAGAAGAGCAUCUCUGAUCAAAGACCAGAAACUGUAGUGAUGGGAUCGUUUGCUGUCAUGAUACUGAUCCUCUGUGCGUUAUUA